UAUAUUUCUUGUAAGGUAGGAAAACAGAAACAAAACAAUAGAAAAGUGAUUGGCUAACAUCAAGUUACUUCAGGUUACUUUUUGUUUAAGAGUUAAAGGCAGAGGGAACUUCAUUACCACGCCAAUUGAAACUGGCCUGUUUGGGAAAUUUGCCUAUCUCUCCCUCCAGAUUUCUCAAGUUGGAUAACUCAGUUUUGGUUUGGUGAUGUGGAGCCUCAGCAUAAGUGACUCCAUUUUGACUUUUAGUUUGGUCUGUUGGGCCCUUGUGUGUGCACUUAGUUUGUAACAAUUUCCUUCUAUAAUUUUUAUUCAACACUCUUAUAAGUUCCCUGAAGGUAGGGACCAUGGCUUAGUGGUCAACAUUAUAUGCCAGGUAUUCAGCAUAUAACCAGUACUUAAUGAGUAUUUGUGAUUCAAUGAGUGAGUGCCUGAUCACUCAGAGAGAUUACGUUUCUUGGACACUUACCAUGUGCUGUCAAUCUUCUAAAUAGUUUGAUAAAUCAUCUCAGCUGAAACAGCAACUCUAUGAGGUCUAUAUUAUUAUUAUCUCCAUUUUACAGAUCAACAAAUUAAGAGGUUAAGUUUUUCUAAAAGAAAGUGUGUUUCAAACAAGACAUACCAAAUCAAAGGGCUCCAUUAGAAACAGUGCACUCAACCGGGCACAGGCUCAUGUCUGUAAGCACUUUGAGAGGCCAAGGCAGGUGGAGCUCUUGAGCAUAGAAGUUCGAGCCCAGGCUGAGCAACACAGAGAAACCCCGUCUCUACCAAAAAAAAAAAAAAAAAAAAAAAAAAAAGGACUACCAAAAUUAGCUGAGUUUGUUGACACAUGCCUGUAGUUCCAGCUACUAGGGAGGCUGAGGUGGGAGGAUUGCUUGAGCCUGGGAGGUCAAGGCUGUGGUGAAUCAAUAAUGGUUCCACCUGGGCCAGUGUAAGACCCUGUCUGGAAAAAAAAAAGCAUAUAUAUAUAAAAUAAAAAAAGAAACAGCGUACUCUAUUCUCUCCCAUGGUUAUCAAGAUUCUGCCAAAAUUACUGGUGCAUUUGGCUGACUUUCUUCCUUAUUCCAGUCUUCUGCUUAUUUGCCACUCAGGUGAUCAGCAAAAGCUCAGAAAGAGUGGUACUGAUGGAGAGGAUAAAUGCUUACCCAAACUCACAUAAGUUGGCAUAUCUGCAGGGAAACAUCACGUUAGCCUUUGAGGAGAGAGGCUAUGCAGGGAUCCAAACAAGAAAAUGUGUAACAAUUUCAGAAGUGGCAAAAAGCAACAACGAGAUGGAAAAAGAUGUGAAGGAUGUGACAGUGAAUGUGGGUCACCCCCAAGGCUCUUUGUGGCAAGACAACGCUGGAGCUUCUCCUUUGCAUGAAACUGAUUGAUGCUGCAAGGUCCUGAAGGAAGACAGAUGUUUUUUGUUUUGUUUUGUUUUAGUGCAGUUCUCCAGUAAAAAGAAAACCCAGGCGGUGAAUAAAUUCAGUCUUCUCCUUUGGGAGAAGUUCACUUCUACUGGGGCCAGAAUCUGCUUUUACAUACCCUGAACUAGAGGAUCAGAGUAUCCUCAAAAGGCUUUCUUGGUACUUCAACUCUGAUAUCCACCCAUCCUUAGAACUACGGCUGCUGCUCCAAAACCUCAUACCUUGCUUUCUCCAACCCCUGAGAGAGAGAUAUUGGCUUGAGUUAGUCUCAAUUUUGUUAGGUAUCCUGGACUAGGUGCUUGGAAUGGCUGAGUGUCCCUCCAAGCAGAUGGAACAGCCCCCAUGCCAUUCUUCCAUAUUAGUUGGAAAUACGUUCAGCUGCCUGAAUUAGAAAAUCCCAUGACAGAGGCAUUAGGGAACAACACUUUGGUUUUCUCCAAAAGAUCAGGGAGGUAGGCAAUUACUAUGAUUAUUUUAGUAGCUCUACCAAAUUAGGUCAAAAGUUUCUUCCAUUUUUGUGGCCUUCCUCUCCUGGUCACAGCGAGGUUACUGACACUCAAGCCAUCAUAUCUGUGUCCCGUGCAAGAUGGGAAGACUAUAAAAGGGGAAAGGGCUCUUGGAGGCCAUUCUAUUUUCUAUAAUCAGGAAAGCAAAUAUUUUCAUAGCUCAUCUCUUCACACCCACUUCCCAGCAGACUUCCAUGGGCAGCAAGUCUUCCCACAGAAGCAAGGGAAGCUGGAAAAUUAGGGACCACACUUAUCAGAAGUGUCUCUGCACAAUCAUGCCUUGGAAUGGAUAUGUUGCUGCACCCCAAAAAAGUAGUGUGUCUCAAAACAAGGAACAAUAAGAGACUAAAUACUUGAUGGGCAACCAACUGUAUUGGCCAUUUCUUCUAUUUAAUUUAAUACAUCAGACCUUACUCUGCUUCCCUUAGCUGUAUGGUCUCACCUCUUGCAAUUCUACUUUGAGGUCCCUGCAUGCUUUACGUCCAGGCUGUAGAAGGAUUGAGCCUGCUGAGGCUGUGCAACAGGGUAGUACAUAGCAUGUAAUAUUUUACAGGUUGAAAGAAACUUUUGUUUUAACUUUUAUUUUAGUUUUGGAGGUACAUGUGAAAGUUUGCCACAUAGGUAAACUCAUGUCAUGGGGGUUUGUUGUACAGAUUAUUUCAUCACCCAGGUAUUAAGCCCAGUAUCCAAUAGUUAUCUUUUCUGCUCCUCUCCCUCCUUCCAUCCUCCAUCCUCAAGUAGAACUCAGUGUCUAUUGUUUUCUUCUUUGUGUGCAUAAGUUCUCAUCAUUUAGCUCCCACUUAUAAGUGAGAACAUGUGAUAUUUGGUUUUCUGUUCCUAUUUUAAUUUGCUGAGGAUAAUGGCCUCUAGCUCCAUCCAUGUUCCUGCAAAGGACAUUAUUUCAUUCCUUUUCAUGGCUGCAUAGUAUUCCAUGGAGUAUAUGUAUUACACUUAUCCAGUCUACGACUGAUGAGCAUUUAGAUUGAUUCCAUGUCUUUGCUAUUGUGACUAGUGCUGCAAUGAACAUUUGUGUGCUUAUGUCUUUAUAGUAAAAUGAUUUAUAUUCCUCUGGAUAUAUGCGCAGUAAUGAGAUUGCUGGGUUUAAUGGUAGUUCUGCUUUUAGCUCUUUGAGGAAUCACCAUACUGCUUUCCACAAUUGUUGAACUAAUUUACACUCCCACUAACAGUGAAUAAGUGUUCCCGUUACUCCACAACCUCACUAGCAUCUGUUACUUUCAGACUUUUUCAUAAUAGCAUUCUUAGAGGUGUGAGAUGAUAUCUCAUUGUGGUUUCCAUUUGCAUUUCUCUAAUGAUCAGUGAUAUUGAGCUUUUCUUCAUAUGCUUGUUGGCUGCAUGUAUGUCUUCUUUUGAAAGGUGGCUGUUCAUGUCCUUUGCCCACUUUUUAAUGGGGUUGUAUGUUUCCUUUCAUAAAUUUAUAUAAGUUCCUUAAGGAUGCUGGAUAUGAGACCUUUGUCAGAUGCAUAGUUGGAAAAUAUUUUCUCCCAUUUUGUAGGUUGUCUGUUUACCGUGUUAAUACUUUCUUUUUCUGUGCAGAAGCUCUUAAGUUGAAUUAUAUCCCACUUGUCAAUUUUUGCUUUUACUGCGAUUGCUUUUGGUGUCUUUGUUAUGAAAUCUUUGUCUGUUCCUAUGUCUAGCAUGGUAUUGCCUAGGUUGUCUUCCAGGAUUUUUUACAGUUUUGGGUUUUACAAUUAAGUCUUUAAUUCAUCUUGUGUUGAUUUUUGUUUAUGGUAUAAGGAAGAGGUCCAGCUUCAAUCUUCUACAUAUGGCUAGCCAGUUAUCCAAGCACCAUUUAUUGACUAGGGAGGCUUUUCCCCAUUACUUGUUUUUGUCAGAGAAGAAAUAUUUUAAUAGUCCUGAUAACAUUCCCGUAUCUUGAAUGUCCUGCUAACAUUCCCCUAUCUACAAAGCAUAGCACCUGGGGUGGUGUUGAGUCUGGAUUCCUUGGAAGUGUCAAUAUACACCAGAUAAUGGCCAGUUUUCCACAAGAAUAUAGAUGACUAGCACUUCCUGUCACAAUACCUGGCACAGUGAGUAAUUUACUUUUGUUUUUUUUCUUGUUUAUCUGUUGUUCUCUCUCUCUUUCUCUCUCUGUCACACACACACACACACACACACACACAUACAUACACACUGCUGUUUACAAUUUGGCAAUGCAUUUGUUGUCCAUUCAAAAGCACUCAUUGACAAAGAUGGGCUCUCUCGAGUGUGGCUGAGAUGGUGUGCACUUAGUGGCACUGCAGAACCCCAGGGCCUGGGCACCAGGGCUGCACCUGCCGAGCAGCCCGCCUGUGAGACCCAUCCUCGGCCGCUCUGCUGCUCAGUGGCGGCCUCUGCCUUGCCUGCUGGAGCAGGGCUCUUCAGCCGAGGACAGGACAAGUCUCUCCUUUAUUCAAGUCUUUCACUGAGCUCCCAGAGCUGCAGUUGCGAAUCUUUUGUUUUUAUUUGUAAACUAAGUGAAUUUGACCUGGAAAUCACCAAAGGGGAAUACAUUUGGAACAUUGAAAUGCCAUUUUUACAGGCACAUUUCUAAUCAUAGCUGCCCUUUAAAACCCACAUACAAUUGUCACCUUGAGUUCCCCUGUUUUCCAGCCUCAGUGCGGCUCUCUUUGCAAAUCCCACAGCAUGACAACAACAAGAUUUCAUUUUUAGUCAGACUUGACACUGGCUAAACACUAACGUGGGCUCUUUAUGUUUCCAUAAACUCUCUUAUCACAGAGCCACCAGUAGAGCAUGG
rnacentral:lncRNA from 1 species